AACGAACGAAUAGCGCCUGAACUAUUUUCUGACCGGUAAUGAAAAUAGUUGACGAGGAGGAGGUUAUCGAACGCAAUCGGCGGAUACCUCCCGGCUGCACAUCUCAGUCGUGAUGCUUUUUUCCAAAAACAGUGAGGCGACUUGCUGCACAAAGGAUAAAGCCAGAUGAUU
rnacentral:ncRNA from 1 species